rnacentral:tRNA from 1 species
GUGGUUAUAGCUCAGAGCUAGAGUGCAUGCUUAGCAUGCAUGAGGUCCUGGGUUCAAUCCCCGGUACCUCCA